rnacentral:rRNA from 1 species
GAUGGACCCGCGUCUGAUUAGCUAGUUGGUGAGGUAAUGGCUCACCAAGGCGACGAUCAGUAGCCGACCUGAGAGGGUGAUCGGCCACAUUGGAACUGAGACACGGUCCAAACUCCUACGGGAGGCAGCAGUGGGGAAUAUUGCACAAUGGGCGAAAGCCUGAUGCAGCAACGCCGCGUGAGCGAUGAAGGCCUUCGGGUCGUAAAGCUCUGUCCUCAAGGAAGAUAAUGACGGUACUUGAGGAGGAAGCCCCGGCUAACUACGUGCCAGCAGCCGCGGUAAUACGUAGGGGGCUAGCGUUAUCCGGAUUUACUGGGCGUAAAGGGUGCGUAGGCGGUCUUUUAAGUCAGGAGUGAAAGGCUACGGCUCAACCGUAGUAAGCUCUUGAAACUGGAGGACUUGAGUGCAGGAGAGGAGAGUGGAAUUCCUAGUGUAGCGGUGAAAUGCGUAGAUAU